rnacentral:snoRNA from 1 species
CCCCUCCAGAUUCCUGACCGUGGGGUCUAAAUGUGGGUCUGAGUGGCCAGACAAGGAGGAGCGGCAAACUGAAGUGGGCUUGGCGUCUUCAGCGACUUCCACGCUCAUUUCAAACGUGG